GUGGAGCAAAACUCAAAAACUUGUCUCAGUUCGGAUUGUAGGCUGAAACUCGCCUACAUGAAGCUGGAGUUGCUAGUAAUCGCGAAUCAGCAUGUCGCGGUGAAUACGUUCCCGGGCCUUGUACACACCGCCCGUCACACCAUGAGAGUUGGAGAUACCCGAAGCCUGUGAGCUAACAGAAAUGGAGCAGCAGUCGAAGGUAGAAUCAAUGAUUGGGGUGAAGUCGUAACAAGGUAGC
rnacentral:rRNA from 1 species